ensembl:snoRNA
AUUAUAAACAAGUUAGGAGCAUGAUGAUUGAGUGGUGAUGCUGCAUGCCUGAGAUGUUCCUCUCUUAAACCUUGUUACAGUGUUAGCACAUUGCCAUCUGUUG